rnacentral:lncRNA from 1 species
ACCGGUUAAACUCCGCCAUUUUGCCUCUUAGUGCUCAUGCUUGAGCCCGCUUGCCCAACUCCUGAGAUGUCAUCGGGAAGCUGCUGAUCAGCAAUUACAGGUAGGAAAUGUUCCAACACAUCUGAGGAAACACAUGCCUUCCCAGACUGGCCUGUUGCUGUUUCCCAGGAGCUGCAUUCUGGAAGGUGGACCAUCAGGUGGAAGAAGUAUUCUUCAGAGAGCUGCCUUCCCAAGGGAAUGGUGACAGCUUGCGCUUGCCGGGGAGUCCUGCUGCCUUCCGAGGUGUGAAGGGAAGGCAUGCACUGUGCAUAUGCUGUACCAUACAGUUUUGCCUACAACUGCUUGUAGCUUCAUUGUAGCUGUGAAUGCUCCGUUCCUCUCCUUUUCACCCCUGAAGAUUCGCGAACAUGCAGGAUUGAGCUGUGCGAGGCAUAGCAUUCCCCACAUGGUAGACGAAGGCGGAUGUGGGUCUGAUGGCUCUACUGCCGUCCACCCGGGAGGAUGGACGUGUGUUCCGGGAUAUCAGAGCUUGCGGCUGACCAGCCCACAUGUCCAUGCAGCCCUCCCGCUGGCUGUGUCGACAUUUUGGGUGUCACUGAAGGAUUUUACUGGUGCAGACUUUACAAAGGCAAAAUUGUUUCUCAAGGAAGUGGACAUGAAAGAUCUAAAAUCAGGGCUGCUUAAAAAAAGCAAGCACAGAUUAAUGACCUAUCUACAUCCUACACGGUUUUAGGACUGCGCCUAGAUGGGCUUAAAGACCCUAGCCUAAAAACUGUAAAUGUGCUUCCGUCUUUGCCCUGUAGGACAAGAAAGCCUUACGGGCUUGCUUCUAACUGUGAGAGGAGGAGAGGCCAGGAAGGGAGAGGGAGAAAAGGAGGAGAACAGGAGACGAGAAGGAGGGGAGAGUGAGGAGAGGAGGAGAGAGGCUUGUCAAAAUCUUUUUAGUGCACAAAACUAAUUUUGUUCAUCUUGGAUUUGGUGAGCUGGGUAAUAUUCUGUGCACGGCUCCUAAAUGAAUUAUUAAAUGUCAACUCAAGAUGGCUUAACUAAAAUACUCAAUUUAAUAACCAAAAGUAUCUAAGGUAACAACAACAAUUUUGCAGGUGAUUGUAGAGUUGUCAAGUCAAACCAUUAUAGACAAGCAUUUGGGGUUUUCACAUAAUCUCCUUCCACAUCUCAUCUUCUGUCACUAAAUACCCACUCUGGUGAGCAUAUUCCAUUUCAAUAAAGAUCAUCGCUUCGG